UUUUUUUUUUUUUUUUUUUUUUUUUUUGAGAUGCCAAAC
rnacentral:ribozyme from 1 species